rnacentral:misc_RNA from 1 species
AAGUCGUAACAAGGUUCCGCCACGCACUGAGAGUCACAUCCUGCUGCCUUAGGAAGCCUUUUACGUAAUGGUCUGUCUCUGUACAGGCAACACCUGUACUGUUGCUGGAAAGAACCUCCUCGGGUUAAUCAGCUGCUAUUUAGCUUGUCUUAUAGCCCACAGAUCAAACGCAGGUGGCCAGAAUAUGACUCAGAUUAGGUCAAUGGUUCAGAUAUGACCGUAGCAAAUCUCGCGAGGGGUUUGAUACCUAGUUCCGUAGGUGAACCUGCGGAAGGAUCAUUAAAGAGAAUCAGAGGUUCA